UGACUCGGUGGCGCAACGGUAGCGCGUCUGACUCCAGGUCAGAAGGUUACGUGUUUGAAUCACCUCCUGUCAG